rnacentral:rRNA from 1 species
UACGUAGGGGGGCAAGCGUUUGUCCGGAUUUAUUGGGCGUAAAGAGCGUGUAGGCGGUCAGGUAGGUCCGUUGUGAAAACUCGAGGCUCAACCUCGAGACGCCGAUGGAAACCAUCUGACUAGAGUCCGGAAGAGGAGAGUGGAAUUCCCUGGUGUAGCGGUGAAAAUGCGCAGAUAUCAGGAAGAACACCCGUGGCUAAGGCGGCUCUCUAGUACGGUACUGACGCUGAGACGCGAAAAGCGUGGGGAGCGAACAGG